rnacentral:rRNA from 1 species
GGUGAACGCUGGCGGUAGGCCUAACACAUGCAAGUCGAACGGCAGCACAGGAGAGCUUGCUCUCUGGGUGGCGAGUGGCGGACGGGUGAGGAAUACAUCGGAAUCUACUCUGUCGUGGGGGAUAACGUAGGGAAACUUACGCUAAUACCGCAUACGACCUACGGGUGAAAGCAGGGGACCUUCGGGCCUUGCGCGAUUGAAUGAGCCGACGUCGGAUUAGCUAGUUGGCGGGGUAAAGGCCCACCAAGGCGACGAUCCGUAGCUGGUCUGAGAGGAUGAUCAGCCACACUGGAACUGAGACACGGUCCAGACUCCUACGGGAGGCAGCAGUGGGGAAUAUUGGACAAUGGGCGCAAGCCUGAUCCAGCCAUACCGCGUGGGUGAAGAAGGCCUUCGGGUUGUAAAGCCCUUUUGUUGGGAAAGAAAUCCAGCUGGCUAAUACCCGGUUGGGAUGACGGUACCCAAAGAAUAAGCACCGGCUAACUUCGUGCCAGCAGCCGCAGUAA